GCAAAAGGGGUUGCAACUUACGGCUUGGCGCGGAUACAGAAGAAAGCCAACUACAUUACGAAAUGAAUAUGGAGAAACUUGUUAAAAUUGCGAUUUUUGAUCAAUCGGUUAGACAAAUAGCAUAAAAGAAAUGGAAACGCCGACUAAGAUUGGAAUGCUGGAGAGUUUCAUGAAGAACCACCAAAAUUCCUUGAAAUCGCUAUUCCAGAGAAAGAGAUCAUCAAAUUCAAGCGAAGAUGGCGCAUUCGAUUCACCUGGCAUUUCCCCCAGACCCAUUCCUCAACUAUCACCUCUCGCAAACUCCGUCGUCGCUCGCUGUUCCAAGAUCCUUGGAGUCCCUACGCAUGAGUUACAGCAUCAUUUCGACAUUGAGCUACCCGAAAGCGUUAAGCAACUUUUCACUUACGCUAGGAACUUCCUUGAAUUCUGCUCAUACCAAGCCCUCAAUUCGGUCACCAGACGCCCUGAUUAUUUGAGCGACAAGGACUUCCGUCGCUUGACCUAUGACAUGAUGCUCGCGUGGGAGGCCCCCAGUGUUGAGAUCGAUUCGCAUCACAAAGAAAUUGCCUCUCCCAGUAACCGGCUAGAAGAGGAUGAGGACGGGCCUUCACUGUUUUAUUCAAGUUCCACUAAUAUGGCUGUUCAGGUUGAUGACACAAGUACUGUUGGCCGAGAGGCUUUUGCACGCAUAGCUCCAGCUUGUGCUGUUGUUGCAGAUGUAAUGACUGUCCACAAUCUUUUUGAUGCUCUCACAAGCUCUUCAGGCGAUCGACUUCAUUUUCUUAUUUAUGAUAAAUACCUUCACAGCCUUGACAAGAUUAUUAGAGCUGCAAAAAAUACACCAGGAAACGUAAAUCUUCAGCUUGCUGAGGGAGAGAUCAUUCUUGAUGUUGAUGGGACAGUUCCAACUCAGCCAAUUCUGCAGCAUGUUGGAAUCUCAGCGUGGCCUGGGCGGUUAACAUUGACUAAUAGUGCUCUCUACUUUGAGUCGUUGGGAGUUGGUCUAUAUGAUAAAGCUGUUAGAUAUGAUCUGGCAACGGAUAUGAAACAGGUCAUAAAACCAGAAUUGACUGGACCAUUGGGUGCUCGUCUCUUUGAUAAAGCUGUGAUGUAUAAAUCAGCAUCAGUGUAUGUUAUUGCAUCUUCAAUCCUGUCAUGUAGAAUUUUAAAUUUUUAACGAUUCAUGCGCUGUAGAUAUUAUCUACCAAGUGUCAACACAUGACUGCUUGUACAAAUAAAGAGCUUAUCAUUAACUUAUAUUUUUCCUGGCACUUACAUUUACAGAGUGGAGCCUGUUUAUUUUGAGUUUCCUGAAUUUAAAGGUAAUUCUCGACGAGAUUAUUGGUUGGAUAUAUGUCUUGAGAUCCUGCACGCACACAAGUUUAUUAGAAAAAACAACUUCAAAGAGACACAGCAACUGGAGGUACUUGCAAAGGCUAUUCUAGGCAUCUUUCGAUAUCGUGCUGUCAGAGAAUCUUUCCAAUUUUUCUCAUCCCAUUACAAAACUGUACUGCCUUUUAAACUGGCUGAAAGUCUUCCCAGGGGAGAUAUGAUCUUGCAAACUCUGUUAAGUCGACUAGCACUUCUAAAUAUAACUGCUUCCCCACGCAGUGUUGAAGGAUUUGCAUAUGCAAAACAGCAACCAAAACUUUCACCAGUUGCACUUCUGACGCUUGUUCGACUUGGUUUUCCUUUACAAAAUGAGUCAAAUUUUGAUGGAGAAGAAAUGGCAACAGGAGAUCUUUGCGCUGGUGAGACAAAUCCGCUGGAGAUAGCUGUAAAACAGUCAGUGUCAGAUAUUGGAAGAGCUGAAGCUGCACAGGCAACUGUGGAUAAAGUGAAGGUUGAAGGGAUUGAUACAAAUGUUGCAGUAAUGAAGGAGCUGCUGUUUCCAGUCAUUGAAUUAGCUAGCCGUCUUCAACUCUUGGCUUCUUGGGAAGAUCCAUUUAAAUCAAUUGUGUUUCUGAUGUUAUGCUGCUAUGUUAUUUUAAGGGGUUGGACCAGGUACAUGUUGCCAUUCAUUUUCAUAUGCUCUGCAGUUUUCAUGUUCUUGCGUAGGCAUUUCAAUAGAAAGGAGCCGGUAGAGGCCUUCAAAGUUAGAGCUCCCCCCAAUAAAAAUGCUGUAGAGCAGCUGCUGACAUUACAAGAAGCUAUCACACAGGUUGAGGCACUAAUUCAAUCUGGGAAUAUUAUUCUCCUGAAGAUUAGAGCUCUUUUAAUUGCUGUCCUCCCACAGGCUACGGAAAGGAUUGCUCUGUUACUGGUUCUCAUUGCUGCUAUGUUUGCAUUUGUGCCCUUGAGACACUUAUUCCUAUUGGUAUUCUUAGAGGCCUUCACAAGGGAAAUGCCUUAUAGAAAAGAAAGCAGUGAUAGGUGGCGGAGACGAUUAAGAGAAUGGUGGAACAGGAUACCGGCAGCUCCAGUUCAGCUGAUUAAACUUGAUGAGAAUAAGAAAAAGAAGUGAAUACUGCUUAUAUGAAUGCGAACACCAUUCUUUGUAAAUUGGUGAAGCCAAUGAACGUCGGACUACUGUAGAGCAAGAGCUUAUACAAUGUACAGAAAACAUUCGAGAUUUUCUAUUUUCAUUUUGAAUUCACGAGGAAAAUAAUCGAACAUUUGCUCUACUUAUAAUUUAGAAUGUAUAGGAAGUUUUUUAAGUAACUCUUGUUUUAAGGUAUUUUAGAAAAAUGCACAUUAUCUAAUUUCUAUUUGUGCAUAAACACAUGAUUAUUUCUUGUUACCGUUUAAUAUAAUAUCGAAA
rnacentral:misc_RNA from 1 species